CAGUAGCCACGGUAAUACGUAGGUGGCAAGCGUUGUCCGGAAUUAUUGGGCGUAAAGCGCGCGCAGGUGGUUUAAUAAGUCUGAUGUGAAAGCCCACGGCUCAACCGUGGAGGGUCAUUGGAAACUGUUAAACUUGAGUGCAGGAGAGAAAAGUGGAAUUCCUAGUGUAGCGGUGAAAUGCGUAGAGAUUAGGAGGAACACCAGUGGCGAAGGCGGCUUUUUGGCCUGUAACUGACACUGAGGCGCGAAAGCGUGGGGAGCAAACAGGAUUAGAGACCCCCGUAGUCCCUGUCUCUUAUAC
rnacentral:rRNA from 1 species